rnacentral:tRNA from 2 species
GCUUUUAAAGGAUAACAGCUCAUCCAUU